GCCUAGAGCACUUUAGCAUGACAAAUACAUAACUCUUUAAUGUUUCUAUAAGCAUAAAAAAUAAUUGGGUAAAUCAAACAUAUUGUUUAACUCAAUAGUUUAAAAACUCAUUGACCUCACAAUAAUGUAACUUAGAUCUACAAUCAUCCUCUCUACAUUAUCUUGUAAACCUGCCGUACCUUGAACUAUAAACUAGAAAGUAUUACAGCUAUUACAAGUAUGAAAAUGGCAUGCUAUGGAGGAAUCAGGAGCAAUUCCUCAAAGGCAAUAAUAUUCUCACAAAUUCGACCAACAUAUUGAAUGGGUAAGGCAGUGGCUGAGUGACAGGAAACAGAUGGUUGUAGUCAAUGGAAUAUAUUCGAAGCAUGGUCUUGUCACCAGUGGGGUACCUCAGGGAUCUGUACUUGGACCCAUUCUCUUUAAUAUUUUUAUUAGUGAUAUACCUUACCAUCAAGACUUUCUGCAAUGUCUUUUUGCAGAUGAUACUAAGAUAUGUAACAGGGUUGAUGUUCCAGGAGGGAUAAGCCAAAUGGCAAAUGAUUUAGGUAAACUAGAAAAAUGGUCAGAAUUGUGGCAACUGAUAUUUAAUGUGGAUAAGUGCAAGAUAAUGCAUCUUG